UACGGAGGGUGCAAGCGUUGUUCGGAAUUACUGGGCGUAAAGCGCGCGUAGGCGGCUCUUUAAGUCUCACUGUGAAAGACCGGGGCUCAACCCCGUGCGAGCAGGGGAUACUGGAGGGCUAGAGACCGGUAGAGGCCAGCGGAAUUUCGGGUGUAGCGGUGGAAUGCGUAGAGAUCCGAAAGAACACCGGAGGCGAAGGCGGCUGGCUGGGCCGGGUCUGACGCUGAUACACGAAAGCGUGGGGAGCAAACAGG
rnacentral:rRNA from 1 species